rnacentral:rRNA from 1 species
GACGAACGCUGGCGGCGUGCUUAACACAUGCAAGUCGAACGGAAAGGCCCUGCUUUUGUGGGGUGCUCGAGUGGCGAACGGGUGAGUAACACGUGAGUAACCUGCCCUUGACUUUGGGAUAACUUCAGGAAACUGGGGCUAAUACCGGAUAGGAGCUCCUGCUGCAUGGUGGGGGUUGGAAAGUUUCGGCGGUUGGGGAUGGACUCGCGGCUUAUCAGCUUGUUGGUGGGGUAGUGGCUUACCAAGGCUUUGACGGGUAGCCGGCCUGAGAGGGUGACCGGCCACAUUGGGACUGAGAUACGGCCCAGACUCCUACGGGAGGCAGCAGUGGGGAAUAUUGCACAAUGGGCGGAAGCCUGAUGCAGCAACGCCGCGUGCGGGAUGACGGCCUUCGGGUUGUAAACCGCUUUCGCCUGUGACGAAGCGUGAGUGACGGUAAUGGGUAAAGAAGCACCGGCUAACUACGUGCCAGCAGCCGCGGUGAUACGUAGGGUGCGAGCGUUGUCCGGAUUUAUUGGGCGUAAAGGGCUCGUAGGUGGUUGAUCGCGUCGGAAGUGUAAUCUUGGGGCUUAACCCUGAGCGUGCUUUCGAUACGGGUUGACUUGAGGAAGGUAGGGGAGAAUGGAAUUCCUGGUGGAGCGGUGGAAUGCGCAGAUAUCAGGAGGAACACCAGUGGCGAAGGCGGUUCUCUGGGCCUUUCCUGACGCUGAGGAGCGAAAGCGUGGGGAGCGAACAGGCUUAGAUACCCUGGUAGUCCACGCUGUAAACGGUGGGUACUAGGUGUGGGGUCCAUUCCACGGGUUCCGUGCCGUAGCUAACGCUUUAAGUACCCCGCCUGGGGAGUACGGCCGCAAGGCUAAAACUCAAAGGAAUUGACGGGGCCCCGCACAAGCGGCGGAGCAUGCGGAUUAAUUCGAUGCAACGCGUAGAACCUUACCUGGGUUUGACAUGGAUCGGGAGUGCUCAGAGAUGGGUGUGCCUCUUUUGGGGUCGGUUCACAGGUGGUGCAUGGCUGUCGUCAGCUCGUGUCGUGAGAUGUUGGGUUAAGUCCCGCAACGAGCGCAACCCUUGUUCACUGUUGCCAGCACGUUAUGGUGGGGACUCAGUGGAGACCGCCGGGGUCAACUCGGAGGAAGGUGGGGAUGACGUCAAGUCAUCAUGCCCCUUAUGUCCAGGGCUUCACGCAUGCUACAAUGGCUGGUACAGAGAGUGGCGAGCCUGUGAGGGUGAGCGAAUCUCGGAAAGCCGGUCUCAGUUCGGAUUGGGGUCUGCAACUCGACCUCGUGAAGUCGGAGUCGCUAGUAAUCGCAGAUCAGCAACGCUGCGGUGAAUACAUUCCCGGGGCU